rnacentral:rRNA from 1 species
UACGGGGGGUGCGAGCGUUGUCCGGAAUCACUGGGCGUAAAGGGCGCGUAGGUGGCUUUGUAAGUUUGCGGUGAAAGCCCGGGGCUCAACCCCGGGUCUGCCGUGGAUACUGCAAGGCUUGAGUACUGUAGAGGCAGGUAGAAUAUCGGGUGUAGCGGUGGAAUGCGUAGAGAUCCGAUAGAAGACCGGUGGCGAAGGCGGCAUGGUGGGCAGUAACUGACACUGAGGCGCGACAGCGUGGGGAGCAAACAGG